UACGGGGGAGCAAGCGUUGUUCGGAUUUACUGGGCGUAAAGGGCGCGUAGGCGGCCACCGCAAGUCGAUUGUGAAAUCUCCGGGCUUAACCCGGAAAGGUCAACCGAUACUGCGGGGCUAGAGUGCAGAAGGGGCAACUGGAAUUCUCGGUGUAGCGGUGAAAUGCGUAGAUAUCGAGAGGAACACCUGCGGCGAAGGCGGGUUGCUGGGCUGACACUGACGCUGAGGCGCGAAAGCGUGGGGAGCAAACAGG
rnacentral:rRNA from 1 species